rnacentral:rRNA from 1 species
AGUGAACGCUGGCGGCGUGCUUAACACAUGCAAGUCGAGCGAUUUCUGACAGCGUAUCGUCAGAGAUAGCGGCAGACGGGUGAGUAAUACUUGGGCAAUCUGCCCUCAGGAGGGAGACAACCUGCCGAAAGGCGGGCUAAUAUCCCGUAAGACCACGGAAUGGCAUCAUUCUGAGGUAAUAGCUCCGCAAGGGGCACCAGAGGAGGAGCCCGAAUCCUAUCACGGUAGUUGGUGAGGUAACGGCUCACCAAGCCUUCGACGGGUAGCCGGCCUGAAAGGGUGAUCGGCCACACUGGCACUGAGACACGGGCCAGACUCCUACGGGAGGCAGCAGUGGGAAUUUUGGACAAUGGGGCAACCCUGAUCCAGCGACGCCGCGUGGAGGACGAAGGUCUUCGGAUUAGUAAACUCC